GACGAACGCUGGCGGUGUGCUUAACACAUGCAAGUCGAACGGUAAGGCCCUUUCGGGGGUACACGAGUGGCGAACGGGUGCGUAACACGUGAGUAACCUGCCCUCAUCUCUGGGAUAACAGUCGGAAACGGUUGCUAAUACUGGAUAUGAGCUUGCAAGGCAUCUUGUGGGUUGGAAAGAUUUUUUUGGUUGGGGAUGGACUCGCGGCCUAUCAGCUUGUUGGUGAGGUAGUGGCUCACCAAGGCUUCGACGGGUAGCCGGCCUGAGAGGGCGACCGGCCACAUUGGGACUGAGAUACGGCCCAAACUCCUACGGGAGGCAGCAGUGGGGAAUAUUGCACAAUGGACGGAAGUCUGAUGCAGCAACGCCGCGUGCGGGAUGACGGCCUUCGGGUUGUAAACCGCUUUCAAUUGUGACGAAGCUUUUUGUGACGGUAGCAGGAGAAGAAGCACCGGCUAACUACGUG
rnacentral:rRNA from 1 species